CACCAGAUAAAGCUGUAUGCAGACAGACAGCACAACAUUCGAGACACGACAUGCUUUUUUUCGUCUGGUCAGUGAUGCCUAUUCUAGAAUCUGUGAAAUUGCUAAACUUCAACUGAUGGGUCCAUGCUGGUAAUCAGACUCCCUUUAAGUGAAUGAAGAAUAAUGAAUGACACCAGCACCACCAGCAGCAGUAGCAGCAGCUGCAGCAGCAUGGAUAUCCACAUCCCCAUCAUCGCCUGCCUCUGUGAAGCUUUAUUAAUGUCUAUCAUUGUAAAUAUCUAUUUUAUAUGUACAAGGAGGCACAAGGAAUUUGGGCAGCGUAUUUACAACUCUGUAACCUCAGUGUUUUGUUGCAACACAAAUGAGCAGCAAAGUGAGCAGCAAACGGCAGAACAGGUAGAGACCAAAAACUUUAGGAUGAGGCUGAAGAUGCGAUACAGUAUUCCACACUGGAUUUUACUAAAAAGAGAAAAGAAAGAGAGAGGCAGAGCGAGGGAGAGGGAGAGGAAACUCUGUACUCCGGUCUGGCGAGUCUCGGGUUGGAGUGAGAUUCUCCUGUCCUUAUUACUUACUGAAUAUUUGGAAAUUAAUUGUCUUCUUCCAUUCAUUUGUUCAUGUGUAAUGCCUAAUAUUUAUUGCAAUAAAGAAAGGAAAAUUGA